rnacentral:rRNA from 1 species
GCCUACGGGGGGCAGCAGUGAGGAAUAUUGGUCAAUGGGCGAGAGCCUGGACCAGCCAAGUCGCGUGAGGGAAGACGGUCCUAUGGAUUGUAAACCUCUUUUGUCGGGGAGCAAAAAGGCCUCGUGAGGCCACAAGUGAGAGUACCCGAAGAAAAAGCAUCGGCUAACUCCGUGCCAGCAGCCGCGGUAAUACGGAGGAUGCGAGCGUUAUCCGGAUUUAUUGGGUUUAAAGGGAGCGUAGAUGGGUUGUUAAGUCAGUUGUGAAAGUUUGCGGCUCAACCGUAAAAUUGCAAUUGAUACUGGCA